ACAACGAGUUUAUGAAAUUCGUAGGCAAAUGGUUGGAACUGGAAAAUAUCAUCCUGAGUGAGCUAACCCAAUCACAGAAAGACAUACAUGGUAUGCACUCAUUGAUAAGUGGCUAUUAGCCCAAAUGCUUGAAUUACGCUGCUCUUGUUACUGACUUCAUUUCUGUUACUCUUUCUGUCAUCCUACAGACUUGAACGAAGGCAUCGACCUUUAGUACAUCUUGAGCCUGCCUGUGUACCUGUCAGUGUGAUGUUUCAGUUCUCAGAUUUUGAAUCAGCGUUGUUUUUUGUUUGUUUUUUUUUUUGUUUGUUUUUUGUUUUUCUGGGUUUCUAGGUUGCUGAGCACAAAAUGAGGAAAUUAUCAGUUUCCGUAAUUACUCAUGUAAGAAUAUAAUAUUCACUUUUCUACUGUGAUAAGACAGCAUGAAAAAGGCAACCCACAGGAGAAAGUGCUGAUUUGGCGCUAACAGUUUCAGAGGCUGAGAGUUUAUAACCAUAUGGCAAGAAGCAUGGCAGCAGGUAAACAGGCAUGGCACGGUAGCGGAGAUUUACAUCUUGAGAAAUAAUCGUAAGACAGUGUUUCCUGAGGAUAAUGUAGACUCCUGCUACUUCCAAUUUUCCCUAGUGAUACGCCUCCUCCGACAACGACAUACCUCUUAAUUUAAUCCCUUUAACCAAUUCCAUCAAUUGGAGAACAGGUACUGAAAAUAUGAGGCUAUGGGGGGCUUUUUUUAAACUAUCAUAGUGUACAUGUGCCUCUUUAAUAUCUCCUAUUGGUUUUUAAGAAACAUCACUGAUAAUUGGAUUCUAUUUUUCCCUCCCUACAUCAGGAAAACUUCAGUAAAAGAUCAAUGACUUUGACUCCUACAUGAGAUUUAUGGCCUUGAUCUUGGCGUUAGUAAAGAACACAAUGUUAGGAUUGACUUCGGUUGCAUGUGAGGAACAGGUCUCCCUCAUGACCCUCUUUUCUGAUAUGUUGAGAAGUUGUAUCAUAGGAUGAGAACUUUUACUUCUACAAACCAAUGAGGACACUUCUAAUUGCUGCAGUGCUAGUGGAGUUUUAUGAAAAUUGAUACAAGUAUUUAUUCUCCUAAUGAGGGAGAUAUCAGUGAAAACCUAGUGAAGGGAGCUAUUACACACAAAUCAUCAAUGAUGGAACUCACAUGUGUCCCUUGUGAAGAGUUUGGCUGUCUGUGUAGAUCUGGCAGCAGUCAGGGAGUUCUAUCAUUCUUUUCAGUCCUAUUUAUGUCAUAGAAAUCUAGAUAUUACAAGCAUAUAAGUUCUCCAGUGCAAUGAAUCUCUACUCAAAUCAUACAGACUGAAUUUAAUGAAAUAAUUUUGAUAUCAACCUCAAGAAAAAAGAUACUCAAACCAAUUAAAAAUUGGUAAAUAAUUAUGAAUACCAAUAGGUUAAAGACAAAGAUUGAAAAUUACAGGAAACACAAACUAUUCAAAUAUCAGUUACAAAAUACCAGAAACAAAGUACAUAAUAUUUUAUUAAAUAGAAAAUGAUAAAGAUAUUAUAAUACAAACUCUUCAGCCUAAAAAGCAUAAACUCUCUAGUGUGCUAAAAGGAUAAUCAUAGAACUAUUUAUAGUUUAAAAUCUAAAUCACAAGGGAAACAUAAAUAUGGAGAAGAUUUCUAUGUCAUUCUUGAACUGUUUUGAAAAAAUCUGCUUCUGGUAAAAUAUAUUAACCUAAAACCAUAAGUAGCCAAACAUUUGGAAAGUUAAACAUAAAGACAUAAGGUGAACAAUUUUACAGAUUUUCAAAAUUUACAUGGGAAUCUUGCUGCUCAUUUUGAUGGAUUUAGAAGGUGGGACAUAUAUAGGUAAUUAAUUCAAUUACCACCUUAGGAUUAAUUUAUAUAUUUAUAAAUCACACACAUACAUACAGCAAUAGACAGGCGUGUGCGCACACACACACACACACACACAUACACACACACACACACACACACACACAGAACACCUCCACUGUCCACAUGUGAGAAUAUAAGAAGCAGGCCUUUGACAGAAUCCAUAUCUGCCCUCCCUAUAAAUUUGAAAUUUCUAGCCUCUACAGCUCUCAGAGAGUUGUGUUGUUUAUAAGUAACUUAGGUUAUAGUAUUCCUGAAUAGAAGUUCACUGAACUAACAUAAUUUCAAAAUAUUAAAUGCCAACCAAAUUCUUAUGCUAGAGGACUAGAGCGAUGGCUUAGCAAGUAAUACUUGUUUCUCUCACAGAAGUUCAGGGUCUUCUAUCAUACACAUCUGUAUCACAACAGACUGUAACUCUCAUUUCAAGGAAUCUGCUAAACUCCAGUUACUAGGAACAGAUAUGUUAUACAUAUAUAGAGGCAAAACAUUCAUAUGCAUAAGAUAAAUAUUUUAAACUGUCACUCUAAAAAUGUUCUAACAUCCAUAGAACUACUAUUUUUUGGAAAAAGUCAAAGCAAAACUCAAUACUAAAAUUCAGAAGAAUAGACAUAAUACCCUACACAGGAAGAAUUAUAUUAAAUACAACUGAAGUAUAUAUAUUCUUCACAAUAAAUAGAUGAAAAUAAGGUUGGCAAGAUGGCUCAGUGAGGAAAAUGCUUGAUGCAAACAUUCAACAAAAGAGUAGUCAGCAAAACAGUAAUGUUCAUAAUAACAUAAAGUAAAAUAAAGUAAUUUGAUUUUAGAAGAAGAAAAGAUUAGACAGAGAGGGGCAAUUACAGUGAUAAACGUGUAAUUCAACUUUCAGAUAAGAAAAUAUUUUGUCAAAAGUGUUCAGGAAACAGUAAUACAGAUACAAUUUUAUUUGCAACUGUUAAAAAGUAAAACUGUUGUCAAUCUAUGAACUGUGUAUAAUCAGUAUUCAUGCUGAGAUUUUCUAAGCGAUGAUAAAAUAAAAUUUAAAAAUUGAAGUAAAAAGGAAUUAUAAUGUGAUGCAAAACGAUAUAUUUGUCAAAGAAAUGGCUAUUAGAUCCAGACUCACAUGGAGAAAUGUUAGGUUUCUUAUCAAAAUUCUAAUAGGGUAUUUGAUAGGAACAGAUUAGAUCGUUCUAGUUCUUUCCCCAACCCUGGAGGAAAAAGUUCACAAUCACUUGUACCUCCAGGUCCCGAGGACCUGACUCCCUUUUCUGGCUGCUGGGCAUAUGUAUUCACAGGUACACGUAUUCAUGCAUGUGCAGAUACAUAUAAACAUGAUUAAAAAAUAAAUAUUUAAAAACAAAAUAAAACAGUAAAUUAAAAUAGAUGUAACUAAGUAACAUUUUUAUGCCUUGCAUUUAUCCUUGUGUGCACUAACAUUUACAACAAGAACUCGAUAUCUUUUCCUUUGUUAUUUUUUUGCUUGGUUAAUAGAAUCUUGAAAGAUUAUUGUGACUUUCAAGGACAUAGGAUAUGUUCCUUUCCCCUUCCAUAUCCUUGAUCAUGCUCUGUUCAAGACAGUGAGAAUUCCACCUCUGCUGUGGUUAGCAGGGCUCAAUGCUUCCUAAGCAGGCGUUAUUAUUUUCCUCGAAUACAUGUCUUCUUAGAUCCCAUUUACCUGUUUGGUUGCUUUAUUCCUUCUACCUUACAUCCACAUCAGGUAUCUUGAAGUUUUGAAACCCAUCUCUCAUUGGGUCACAUAUUGAGGUAUAAAAGCUUUCUCUUAGGACUUGUCCAGUAUUGGGAAGCAAUUGCUUUGUGACAUCCUUCAUGGAACAUUUUAAAGUGAGAAGGAACGCUAGAGUAGAAUGGAAAAAGGUAGCAGCUGUCAAGCCCAAACGCGAUAUGACAGGUACGUGCUGAGAUGGCUGAGGAGCACUGAAUGCUGACUGAAAAGUAAACAGGCUUUUGCCGUGUAGCCUGUGUUGCCCUAAGCUAUCUACACAGCCUAUACCGCUGUUGAAGUGCCUUCAUGGCCUCCCUGGAGACGUCACUUCAGGAUUGAUGGAGUUAAAUAUGUAUGCUGUUAAGCCAGAAACAAAGUUCCUGGAAGAUAAGCUAAGUGAUUACAUUAUGUACUUUUUAUAAAUUGUUAGUGCACUGUGGUAAUA